GACAGAGGGCGCGAGCGUUGUUCGGAAUUACUGGGCGUAAAGCGCGCGCAGGCGGCUUCGCGCGCCCGACGUGAAAGCCCCCGGCUUAACCGGGGAGAGUCGUUGGGGACGGCGGAGCUUGAGGGCGGGAGAGGUCGGUGGAAUUCCCGGUGUAGUGGUGAAAUGCGUAGAGAUCGGGAGGAACACCGGUGGCGAAGGCGGGUCCCUGGGCAACAACUGACGCUGAGGAGCGAAAGCGUGGGGAGCGAACAGG
rnacentral:rRNA from 1 species